UUGGCAUUGCUAUUGGGAGCCUAUAAGUAUUUAUUUUGAAAUAUAUAUAUAUUUUUAAAUAGAAGCAAAAACGGUUUUUUUGCUAUCGAGAAUUAGCUAAAAAAAUUUGCUUUUUUAAAAAAAGUAAAAAUACAAAAACUAUGCAGAUUAGUUAGUUGCCUUAAAUCUCUCAAAUUAGUUUAAAUGAGAAUAAAUUUUGAUUUAGUUCCUUAAAAAGCUCUAACAAAUUGACAUCAACAUACAAGUUAUUUUUUUUUUCAAUUUUCACUAUUCUUUCAGAUUUGCAGCAGAUAUCAGUUCACUUUUUUUUAGUAAUUGAGAAAAGUUUGACGUUGGAAAAAGAUUGAUUUGCUAUGAUGGAGAACAUUGUGUCGAUAUUAAUUAAAUAUGGUGGAAGGUGGAAUUCAUCAGGUAAUACCAUCGACGGUUGAUAUGUAUGUUGUUGUUGAAGGACCAAAGAAGUACAUAGUAAAUUUAAGUACAAGGUGUGUAGUUGCGGGAUAUUUCACCAUUAUGAAAUACCAUGUGAUCAUGUAAUUGCAGUUCUUAGAUACAACAAACUGCAUGAAACAUAUUUGUGUUCUGUCUUUUAUGGCCUGAAGAAUUUCAGAGGUGCAUAUGUCAUCCCUGUUGAACCUAUCUCAUGCGAGAGUACGUUGGAUAUA